GUUUGUUUUUUUGUAGUUUUUCAGUCAAUUGCAUACCGCUUUUAGCUGUACAAAACUUAAACAGUUUUCGUAAAUGCAUUUCAGAGAAAAGUGAAUUCUGAGAUUUGAAUAAUGCAUCUGACGUGUGUGUGAUGACGUCACGACGCACGUAUUUUGAUUUUUACCAGUCGUUCAAGGCGGACGGAUUCAGUCCCAAGAAGCUAAAGUUUUUCAAAGACAUUUGUAGGGAGGACUUUGCAGCUAAUGGAGCUGAAGUAUUUUAUGUAAGGAGGAUUUUGCAGCCCAUAUAGAUUUCCUUAGGCUGAACCAAAACCUGCCAGACUAAAGUUGAUUUGGGAGAGAAAGACGUUGUAAACUCAAUCAUCUUGACAUUCUUCAAUGAGUAAUUGUUCAAUUUUUAGGCAAAUACUGUACACUUUGAAUGCUGUGAAUAAAACUAUAUUUUAAAUAUAUUUAAAAUGAA